CUUUCAACAACGGAUCUCUUGGUUCUGGCAUCGAUGAAAGAACGCAGCAAAAAUGCGAUAAGUAAUGUGAAUUGCAGAAUUCAGUGAAUCAUCGAAUCUUUGAACGCACAUUGCGCCCGCCAGUAUUCUGGCGGGCAUGCCUGUUCGAGCGUCAUUUCAACCCUCAAGCUCAGCUUGGUGUUGGGACUCGCGGUAACCCGCGUUCCCC
rnacentral:rRNA from 2 species